rnacentral:rRNA from 1 species
UGCAGUCGAGCGGACAGAAGGGAGCUUGCUCCCGGAUGUUAGCGGCGGACGGGUGAGUAACACGUGGGUAACCUGCCUGUAAGACUGGGAUAACUCCGGGAAACCGGAGCUAAUACCGGAUAGUUCCUUGAACCGCAUGGUUCAAGGAUGAAAGACGGUUUCGGCUGUCACUUACAGAUGGACCCGCGGCGCAUUAGCUAGUUGGUGGGGUAAUGGCUCACCAAGGCGACGAUGCGUAGCCGACCUGAGAGGGUGAUCGGCCACACUGGGACUGAGACACGGCCCAGACUCCUACGGGAGGCAGCAGUAGGGAAUCUUCCGCAAUGGACGAAAGUCUGACGGAGCAACGCCGCGUGAGUGAUGAAGGUUUUCGGAUCGUAAAGCUCUGUUGUUAGGGAAGAACAAGUGCGAGAGUAACUGCUCGCACCUUGACGGUACCUAACCAGAAAGCCACGGCUAACUACGUGCCAGCAGCCGCGGUAAUACGUAGGUGGCAAGCGUUGUCCGGAAUUAUUGGGCGUAAAGGGCUCGCAGGCGGUUUCUUAAGUCUGAUGUGAAAGCCCCCGGCUCAACCGGGGAGGGUCAUUGGAAACUGGGAAACUUGAGUGCAGAAGAGGAGAGUGGAAUUCCACGUGUAGCGGUGAAAUGCGUAGAGAUGUGGAGGAACACCAGUGGCGAAGGCGACUCUCUGGUCUGUAACUGACGCUGAGGAGCGAAAGCGUGGGGAGCGAACAGGAUUAGAU